GCACCUUCUGGAUUUGGAUAUAACGGGAAAUCAGCUGCAAAAUAUGGUGGUGGAGAGACUCCCUACGCGCCACAGAUUCUUGGUUUUGGAGAAGCAAARUCAGGAAAAUACGGUAAACAGGAAGCUCAGCAGUCUCAGCCUCUUGAAUCUGCAGCUGGAGGUAGAAAACAUGAAGAACGCAUUAUUAAAACUGCUAUAAUGGAUUAAAGAUGUGGUGCAUGAUUGGCUUUAGCAGAUACGACGAGUU